CGUGCGCUACCCCCGUUGCGGUGCCGCCGCCGCCCCUUCUCACGCGCUCGUCUCUCACUGCCGUGAGGGUCGAGGAAGUCGUGCAAACCGGCGCGGUCGGCGGUGGAGGCUCGCCAGACGUAGCGGCGGCGGCCGGUUCCUUGGAGACGCGGCUCCCAUUGGCCCCCAAGAAGCAGCGCGACCACGGGGCUAGGGUUCGCCCAGAUGAACGGAGGAGGAAGGGUAAAUGAGUCCAAGAUGGUAACCGUGGCCCCCAUUACCGCCCCGAGUUCGAUACUGGCUGCGUCUUGCACAGAUCGUCAACGCCCAGAUGGCUACCUCCGGCGCCGCUCGCGCCCUCAUCGACGCGCCUACUCGACUGCAGCUCACAUGAAGGCAUGUUCUCUUGGGUUGGUUGAUGCUACUAUGAUCCCCAUGGAGGCAUCAAUGAUUAAUUGUG